UGGGGAAUUUUGGACAAUGGGCGAAAGCCUGAUCCAGCAAUGCCGCGUGUGUGAAGAAGGCCUUCGGGUUGUAAAGCACUUUUGUCCGGAAAGAAAUCCUUGGCUCUAAUACAGUCGGGGGAUGACGGUACCGGAAGAAUAAGCACCGGCUAACUACGUGCCAGCAGCCGCGGUAAUACGUAGGGUGCAAGCGUUAAUCGGAAUUACUGGGCGUAAAGCGUGCGCAGGCGGUUUGCUAAGACCGAUGUGAAAUCCCCGGGCUCAACCUGGGAACUGCAUUGGUGACUGGCAGGCUAGAGUAUGGCAGAGGGGGGUAGAAUUCCACGUGUAGCAGUGAAAUGCGUAGAGAUGUGGAGGAAUACCGAUGGCGAAGGCAGCCCCCUGGGCCAAUACUGACGCUCAUGCACGAAAGCGUGGGGAGCAAACAGGAUUAGAUACCCUGGUAGUCCCACGCCCUAAAACGAUGUCAACUAGUUGUUGGGGAUUCAUUUCCUUAGUAACGUAGCUAACGCGUGAAGUUGACCGCCUGGGGAGUACGGUCGCAAGAUUAAAACUCAAGGAAUUGACGGGGUCAUAGCUGUUUCC
rnacentral:rRNA from 1 species